AUACGUAGGUGGCAAGCGUUGUCCGGAAUGACUGGGCGUAAAGGGCGUGUAGGCGGCGGUGUAAGUCUGGAGUGAAAAUCCCGCAUUCAAUGUGGGAAUUGCUUUGGAUACUGCAGUGCUAGAGUGCGGAAGAGGUAAGUGGAAUUCCCAGUGUAGCGGUGAAAUGCGUAGAGAUUGGGAGGAACACCAGUGGCGAAGGCGACUUACUGGGCCGUAACUGACGCUGAGGCGCGAAAGCGUGGGGAGCGAACAGGAUUAGAUACCCUGGUAGUCCACGCGGUAAACGAUGAAUGCUAGGUGUUGCGGGUAUCGACCCCUGCAGUGCCGGAGUAAACACAAUAAGCAUUCCGCCUGGGGAGUACGGCCGCAAGGUUGAAACUCAAAUGAAUUGACGGGG
rnacentral:rRNA from 1 species